rnacentral:lncRNA from 1 species
UAGAUAAACUGUAGAUUAUUGUAUUAUGAUUGUAGAUGCUUUGUUUUCUGUUUUCAUAAAUCAAAAACGACUAAAACUUCUACAAAUCUUCUGCAAAAAAUGCAAUUGUGUCGAAAAUACCAAUGAAGCUACAAUUGAAUGAGAAACAGUUCCAAUGUCGAAUAUACCAAUUAAGCUACAACCGAACCUCAAUCCCACGUACUAACGGUUAGAUUUAUGCUUUCGUGUCAACAUGCAGAAUAUAUUUGAAUGCUAGCGGCAAGUGAAUGCAUGUUAAAGCUCGAUGUAGAGUAACAGAAAGUUCAAA